CGGGACGGGUGAGUAAUGUCUGGGAAACUGCCUGAUGGGAGGGGGAUACACUGGAAACGGUAGCUAAUACCGCAUAACGUCGCAAGACCAAAGAGGGGGACCUUCGGGCCUCUUGCCAUCGGAUGUGCCCAGAUGGGAUUAGCUAGUAGGUGGGGUAACGGCUCACCUAGGCGACGAUCCCUAGCUGGUCUGAGAGGAUGACCAGCCACACUGGAACUGAGACACGGUCCAG
rnacentral:rRNA from 1 species